UAGCAUUAGUACCACCAUGUUUCUCCAGCUCUAGCAUUAGCACCACCAAUUCCUCCAUCACAGCAAGAAAGCACAUCCUUCCUCAUCCAAGCCAUGGAUGUCUCGUCGGGGGCCAUGAUCCCCUUGAUCAAGAAGCUCGGGAGCCUACUCGUGGAUGAGUACAACCUGGAGAAACGCGUGAAGAAAGGCGUCAAGUCUCUGAUCACAGAGCUAAAGAUGAUGCACGCUGUUCUACGAAAGAUCGGCGCCAAGCCACCGGAGCAGUUCGACGAGGAGGUCCUCAUCUGGGCGGGCAAAGUGAGGGAGCUCUCCUACCAUAUGGAGGACGCCGUCGACGCCUUCAUCGUGCGCGUGGAGGACGUGGGCCAUGACCAUGGCUCCACCAACAUGAAAAACAAAGUCAAGAAGUUCCUCAAAAGGGUCACCAAACUGUUUACCAAGGGUAAGGCUCUUCAUCAGAUCUCCGAUGACAUUGAAGAAGCUCAGCGGCUCGCCAAGGAGUUAGGCGACCUGUGCCAGAGGUAUAUGAUUGAGGCGCAGGCCAACAGUAGUGGCGAUGCCAUUGAUCCUCGCCUCAAGGCGGUGUAUAAAGAUGUCACGGAGCUCGUUGGGAUAGAUCAUGUAAGAGAUGAGCUGAUAAAGAAGUUGUGUGAUAGUAAUGAGAGGUCCAAGGAGCACUUAAGGACCAUUUCUAUUGUUGGAUUUGGCGGGUUGGGCAAGACAACUCUCGCCAAAGCAGUGUAUGACAAGAUCAAAGUGGAGUUUGAUAGUGUAGCUUUUGUUUCUGUGUCUCGGAAUCCUGACAUGACCAACAUUUUCAAGAAGCUCUUAUAUGAACUUGACAAGGGCAAGUAUGCAACCAUCAACGAAGCUACUAGGGACGAGGGACAACUCCUCGAUGAAUUGAGGAUAUUUCUUCAAGAUAGGAGGUAUCUCAUUGUAAUUGAUGACAUAUGUGAUGAAGAAGCAUGGGAAUUUAUCAAGUGUGCUUUCUCCGACAACUGUCUCGGUAGUCGAGUAAUGACUACCACACGCAUAGGCAGCAUCUCUAAAGCAUGUUGCUCUUCUGGUGAUGAUAUAAUAUAUCAGAUGAAACCUCUUACUGAUGAUGACUCCAAAAGACUCUUCUACAAAAGAAUAUUUCUUCAAGGAAGUAAAUGUCCAGAUGAAUUGGAGCAGGUAUGUAGAGAAAUUUUAAAGAAAUGUGGUGGAGUACCACUAGCCAUCAUUACAAUUGCUAGUAUUUUAGCUACUAAUCGUCAAGACCAACACAUAAAGCCAAAGUAUCAAUGGGAGAACAUACUUGUCUCUAUUGGUCGUGGACUUACCGAAGGGGGUAGUACGAAGGACAUGCAAAGAAUAUUGUCCUUUAGUUAUUACGAUUUACCUUCUCAUUUGAAGACUUGUUUAUUAUAUCUCAGUAUAUUUCCAGAGGAUUCUGAGAUAAGGAGAGACCGGUUGAUAUGGAUGUGGAUAGCCGAAGGGUUUGUGCAAGGUGGAAAACAAGAAACUACACUAUUUGAGCUCGGAGAGAGUUACUUCAAUGAGCUCGCAAAUAGAAAUUUGAUUCAACCGAUAUAUCUUGAUGUUGAAGGCAGGACGGGAGCUUGUCGUGUGCAUGAUAUGGUUCUCGACCUCUUAUGUUUCCUGUCCAGCGAAGAAAACUUUGUUACUAUAAUAGAUGGUACUCAGCAAAGCAAACCUAUUUCACAUUGCAAGAUUCACAGAUUAUCUUUCCAAAACAGCAUGUCAGAUCUCACCACCCAUCGGGUCAAUGCCACAAAUAUGUCACAAGUGAGGUCUGUUAUUCUCCUUAGAACUUAUAUUGAUCUGAUCCAGACUAUUUCACACUUUCAAGUUUUACGUGUAUUGGAUUUGGAAGGUUGUAAUCUUGGGAAAAAUCUCCACCAUACUGAUCUCAGGUAUAUCGAGAAUUUAUUGCACCUAAGGUAUCUGGGGCUAAGAAGAACUUUUGUUUCUGAGCUCCCUGUGGAAAUAGGAAAGCUAAAAUUUUUGCAGACACUCGACUUGGUAGAAAGUGGACCAGAGCCAGGAUCAAGUAUAGUGAUUCCACCAAGUGUUGUCCGUCUAAGACAUUUGAUUUGCCUACAUGCAUCCAAUGAGGUGUUACCCGUUGGGAUCGGGGACAUGGCGUCCUUAGAAGAGCUGACUGGAGUAUUGAUGGAUGGUCCUUCUGUGAUUAAUAAAGAGCUAGGGAAAUUGAUCAAGCUGAGAGUGCUCGACCUUAUUUGGAAUGGGCACGAUGAGAGCGUGUGUAAUUCUUUGGUAGUGUCCCUGGGGAAUCUGCGGAAAAUGCAAAGUCUAACUAUUUACAGCCACGGCAGUGCAAGGUUUGAUGUGAGCUGGGAUGACUUUGUGCCCACUCCAGAACUUCGUGCCAUUGAGUUUCAUCGAUGCACCACCACAUUGCCUAGGUGGGUCAAUUUGUCAUCAUUUCCCCUACUCUCGUCCAUGAAUAUUACAGUGAACAUGGUGCGGCCAGAAGUCGACUUUCAGAUCCUCGGGAAGCUUCCCGCUCUUCGUUCUCUCAUGCUAGGGGUCAACAAAGUUCAGCAUACUCGUGUCGAAAUGUUCGUCGUUGGCGCCAAUGCAUUCCCAUGUUUGAGAGUGUGCAAGUUCUUCCGUUUUCUCACGGGACCAUCUAUGUUUCCACGAGGAGCUAUGCCAAGGCUCGUAAUCCUGCGGUUCUCAGCCCGAGCGUUGGAUAUAGCUAGUGGUGACCAGGAUGUCAGCAUGGGGCACCUCCCUUCCCUCCAGCAAGUCACGGUUUACCUUUGGGUUGAGAAAGGCAGCUCUUCAGAUAAGUGUAAGAAGGAAGCGGAUGUUGUGCUGAGGCAUGCAGCGGACACCCACCCCAACCGUCCCAACCUUGAGACCUAGUAUCAAUCAAGUCUCUAAUUACGAUGACAAAUUGACGGUCUCAAGCCGGUCAAGCUCCAUUUGUUGCUUGACUUGUUCAGCAACUGGGUGUCGAUGUCACGGGGCAAGCUGGCUUACUUCCCCUCCAGACCCCUAGGGAUCCUUGGGCUCUUGGCUGCCACCUCCUGCGAGAUCCAGUCCACCAUUCAUACCUAUCGAUAUCCUAGAUUAUUAACCUCAAUGACGACGACGACGAUCCCGUGCCGGAUCCUGUGCUUGACUUGUCUUGCAACCGGGGAUGACGUUCUGGAACUGUUCUGAGUUUAUUCCGCCCCUUCAUGAUGGACCAGUAACGAGACAAGGCGCAAGGUGCAAGAACGAGACGGAGACUACAACGCCGCCACCGCCACGAUGCCGGCGUCUCCUUCUUUCCGGGCAAGCUGGCUUACAUCCCCUCUCCCCCGCCACCGCCACGAUGCCGGCGUUUCCUUCUUUCCGGGCAAGCUGGCUUACAUCCCCUCUCCCCCCUCCCGCGAGAUUAAGGCCUCCGUCCGCGUCGUCUUCCCUUGCGAGCUUGCCAAGCACGCCAUCUCCGGGGGCACCUAUUUUCAGUCUCUUCUUGUCUUCUCGGAGAGUCCCUGUCUCCUGCUUUCUCGUGGUUCGCUCUAGUUACAUAUUGGACCGUGUC